CCUACGGGAGGCAGCAGUAAGGAAUAUUGGUCAAUGGGCGCAAGCCUGAACCAGCCAUGCCGCGUGCAGGAAGACGGCCCUAUGGGUUGUAAACUGCUUUUGAACAAGAGAAAACCUCGGUACGUGUACCGAGCUGAUAGUAUUGUUAGAAUAAGCAUCGGCUAACUUCGUGCCAGCAGCCGCGGUAAGACGAAGGAUGCAAGCGUUAUCCGGAUUCAUUGGGUUUAAAGGGUGCGUAGGCGGCCUGAUAAGUCAGUGGUGAAAUCUCUCAGCUUAACUGAGAAACUGCCAUUGAUACUGUCGGGCUUGAGUACAGAUGAUGUGGGCGGAAUAUGACAUGUAGUGGUGAAAUACUUAGAUAUGUCAUAGAACACCGAUUGCGAAGGCAGCUCACAAAACUGUAACUGACGCUGAGGCACGAAAGUGCGGGGAUCAAACAGGAUUAGAUACCCUGGUAGUCCGCACCGUAAACGAUGAUUACUCGUUGUUGGCAAUAUGACCGUCAGCGACCAAGCGAAAGCGANAAGUAAUCCACCUGGGGAGUACGCCGGCAACGGUUGAAACUCAAAGAGUAGUAGACGUUGNGAGAGCGACGGACGACGACGACGGAGGGAGGAGG
rnacentral:rRNA from 1 species